rnacentral:rRNA from 1 species
AGAGUUUGAUCCUGGCUCAGGACGAACGCUGGCGGCGCGCCUAACACAUGCAAGUCGAACGAGCGAGAGAGAGCUUGCUUUCUCGAGCGAGUGGCGAACGGGUGAGUAACGCGUGAGGAACCUGCCUCAAAGAGGGGGACAACAGUUGGAAACGACUGCUAAUACCGCAUAAGCCCACAGGUCGGCAUCGACCAGAGGGAAAAGGAGUAAUCCGCUUUGAGAUGGCCUCGCGUCCGAUUAGCUAGUUGGUGAGGUAACGGCCCACCAAGGCAACGAUCGGUAGCCGGACUGAGAGGGUGACCGGCCACACUGGGACUGAGACACGGCCCAGACUCCUACGGGAGGCAGCAGUGGGGAAUAUUGCACAAUGGGGGAAACCCUGAUGCAGCGACGCCGCGUGGAGGAAGAAGGUCUUCGGAUUGUAAACUCCUGUUGUUGAGGAAGAUAAUGACGGUACUCAACAAGGAAGUGACGGCUAACUACGUGCCAGCAGCCGCGGUAAAACGUAGGUCACAAGCGUUGUCCGGAAUUACUGGGUGUAAAGGGAGCGCAGGCGGGAAGACAAGUUGGAAGUGAAAUCCAUGGGCUCAACCCAUGAACUGCUUUCAAAACUGUUUUUCUUGAGUAGUGCAGAGGUAGGCGGAAUUCCCGGUGUAGCGGUGGAAUGCGUAGAUAUCGGGAGGAACACCAGUGGCGAAGGCGGCCUACUGGGCACCAACUGACGCUGAGGCUCGAAAGUGUGGGUAGCAAACAGGAUUAGAUACCCUGGUAGUCCACACUGUAAACGAUGAUUACUAGGUGUUGGAGGAUUGACCCCUUCAGUGCCGCAGUUAACACAAUAAGUAAUCCACCUGGGGAGUACGACCGCAAGGUUGAAACUCAAAGGAAUUGACGGGGGCCCGCACAGGCAGUGGAGUAUGUGGUUUAAUUCGACGCAACGCGGAGAACCUUACCAGAUCUUGACAUCCCUCUGACCGGUCUUUAAUCGGACCUUCUCUUCGGAGCAGAGGUGACAGGUGGUGCAUGGUUGUCGUCAGCUCGUGUCGUGAGAUGUUGGGUUAAGUCCCGCAACGAGCGCAACCCCUAUCCUCAGUAGCCAGCAUUUAAGGUGGGCACUCUGGGGAGACUGCCAGGGAUAACCUGGAGGAAGGCGGGGAUGACGUCAAAUCAUCAUGCCCCUUAUGAUUUGGGCUACACACGUGCUACAAUGGCGUAAACAAAGGGAAGCGAGAUUGUGAGAUGGAGCAAAUCCCAAAAAUAACGUCCCAGUUCGGACUGUAGUCUGCAACCCGACUACACGAAGCUGGAAUCGCUAGUAAUCGCGGAUCAGAAUGCCGCGGUGAAUACGUUCCCGGGUCUUGCACACACCGCCCGUCA